rnacentral:rRNA from 1 species
GACAGAGGGUGCGAACGUUGUUCGGAAUUACUGGGCGUAAAGCGCGUGUAGGCGGCAGCGCAAGUCGGGCGUGAAAUCCCACGGCUCAACCGUGGAAGUGCACUCGAAACUGCGCAGCUAGAGUCCUGGAGAGGAAGGUGGAAUGCUUGGUGUAGAGGUGAAAUUCGUCGAUAUCAAGCGGAACACCGGUGGCGAAGGCGGCCUUCUGGACAGUGACUGACGCUGAGACGCGAAAGCGUGGGGAGCAAACAGG